rnacentral:rRNA from 1 species
AUUGAACGCUGGCGGCAUGCUUUACACAUGCAAGUCGAACGGCAGCACGGACUUCGGUCUGGUGGCGAGUGGCGAACGGGUGAGUAAUACAUCGGAACGUGCCCAGUUGUGGGGGAUAACUACUCGAAAGAGUAGCUAAUACCGCAUGAGAACUGAGGUUGAAAGCAGGGGAUCGUAAGACCUUGCGCAACUGGAGCGGCCGAUGGCAGAUUAGGUAGUUGGUGGGAUAAAAGCUUACCAAGCCGACGAUCUGUAGCUGGUCUGAGAGGACGACCAGCCACACUGGGACUGAGACACGGCCCAGACUCCUACGGGAGGCAGCAGUGGGGAAUUUUGGACAAUGGGCGAAAGCCUGAUCCAGCAAUGCCGCGUGCAGGAUGAAGGCCUUCGGGUUGUAAACUGCUUUUGUACGGAACGAAAAGCUUCGGGUUAAUACCCUGGAGUCAUGACGGUACCGUAAGAAUAAGCACCGGCUAACUACGUGCCAGCCGCCGCAGUAA